GGACGCCAUCUCGUCGUCCUGCCCCGCUGCUUCGCCGGCCUCUCCACCGCAUCCGGCGAGCUCCGAUCCCGGCAUCCCGCCCUAGAUUAAGUUCAGUGCUAGCUGCCGUCAUCCUGCCGCUCUGCUUCGCCACCGUCCGGCGACGGCGGGCUCCGGUGUCCGACGACCCACAAAAUAAAGCACGGGCAGAUGCCGAGAGGCAGGAAUUCAGAGCUCAAUGAUUCAGUGCUCAAGCAUGCCAAGAGUUCAAGAAUUGUAUGUUGGAUGCUACAGAAAAGUCUGUUGGAUGCUACAGAAAAGGAACGACAAGAGUCACUAGAAUACAAAAAUUGUCUGUUGGAUGCUACAGAAAAGUCCAAAACAAUCCAGCAAUAUGAUAUCUUGAGCGCGGUGAGGCCCUCCUCGGCGGCGAGCGAGAACGUGAGGUCGCGGACGCUUCGCACCCGGCCAUCUCCCUCUUCACCAGGUCCUCCGCACGCCGCACCGCCACGGACUUCGCCGCCGCUGUCGCCAUUCGACCUCUGGAGUUUGGGAGGUCCGCCAUGGGCCAGAUCCGGUGGCCAGGUUCGCGGAUCCGGAUGUCGCCGCAGUCGACCCACCAUGGCCGCCACCGCCGCCACAGGGGAGUACCGUCAAGGCCCGCCAUCCGUGCCGCCGCCGCCUCCCGCCCCUUGCCGGGCCGGCCCCUCGCCGCUGGCCCAUGGUGAGGAGGGACGAGGCGCGACGGUGGGGGCGGCAUCACUCUGCCGUCCAUGGGUGCGCCCCCGCCUCCGCUGUGCCCGACGCCUACCUCACCGACGAUGGUGAUGGAGGAGCCCGCGGCGAGCCCGCAGGGCAAGAAGACGACCCGGGCGCGCGGCGGUCUCGAGGAGCAGCUGCCUCGAGCCACGGAGGAGCUGCGGGCCAUGGAGGAGGAGCGCACGAUCCGCUCCACCGCUGCCACCCGCCGCCCCUCGCCUCACCGUCCAUGUGCAGAGGGAGGGCCGCUGCACUGGAGAGUGCCGCCGACCGGGCCGCUACGCCGUCCAUCCGCAGAGGGAGAGCCUCCCCUAGCCGCCGCGCGGAGCUCCGCUGCUGGCGGCGGCAGGGCGCACAGCGAGCGCCGAGGGUGCAGGAAGAGAUCCUGGAGGGAGAAGGGAUAGCGGUGCGGAGGGAUGGGGGAAUGGGAGAGAGAAAGAGAGGAGGGAGAGAGGAAAAAACAAUAAGAAAAUCUGACGUGUGGGUCCCACAUGUUGGUAGUUGGGAUAGAGGAUGAAUGUAGAGUAUGAACGGGUGCAGAGAAACUGGAUAUAGAGAAAUGACCAUGAUUGAAUAUUUUUUUUA